CCCCGUGAACCUUUACUAUAGCUUGACACUGAACAUUGAGCCUUGAUGUGUAGGAUAGGUGGGAGGCUUUGAAGUGUGGACGCCAGUCUGCAUGGAGCCGACCUUGAAAUACCACCCUUUAAUGUUUGAUGUUCUAACGUGGACCCGUUACCCGGGUUGCGGACAGUGUCUGGUGGGUAGUUUGACUGGGGCGGUCUCCUCCUAAAGAGUAACGGAGGAGCACGAAGGUUGGCUAAUCCUGGUCGGACAUCAGGAGGUUAGUGCAAUGGCAUAAGCCAGCUUGACUGCGAGCGUGACGGCGCGAGCAGGUGCGAAAGCAGGUCAUAGUGAUCCGGUGGUUCUGAAUGGAAGGGCCAUCGCUCAACGGAUAAAAGGUACUCCGGGGAUAACAGGCUGAUACCGCCCAAGAGUUCAUAUCGACGGCGGUGUUUGGCACCUCGAUGUCGGCUCAUCACAUCCUGGGGCUGAAGUAGGUCCCAAGGGUAUGGCUGUUCGCCAUUUAAAGUGGUACGCGAGCUGGGUUUAGAACGUCGUGAGACAGUUCGGUCCCUAUCUGCCGUGGGCGCUGGAGAACUGAGGGGGGCUGCUCCUAGUACGAGAGGACCGGAGUGGACGCAUCACUGGUGUUCGGGUUGUCAUGCCAAUGGCACUGCCCGGUAGCUAAAUGCGGAAGAGAUAAGUGCUGAAAGCAUCUAAGCACGAAACUUGCCCCGA
rnacentral:rRNA from 1 species